AAAAAGAAGCUGAGGGAAAGAAUCACUUCCUGGCCUACGAGAAGUGACAACAGUCUGGGUGCUUUGUCAGCAACCAGGGAGAGCUGGGCGUAUGAUUCAGGUGCCAGGGAUCUCCAGAGCCCCGACUUGCAGAGCCAGCUGCCCCUCCAGAAGCUGCUGGAGUAUGGUGAAAGCUCUUUGCCUCAGCAGGCUGUGCUCCACAAGCUUCUCACGCAGUCCCCGAAUUUUGGCACUUCUACAGGCGGAAGCUAUCUAGAGCUGGCCAGUACCUAUGACUGUGCAGAACAACCCGGGGAAGAAAGUGCUAUGAAGCUUGUUUCUUCUUAGUUGAAUGGGUGUGGUUCUGAAGUACUACAGAAUGACAGCCACAAGGAACAGUGAGAGUCUGGUAAAGCAGGAAGGUGAGAAGAAAAUGCCUAGUCUCUGAAAAUGUUUCUCCAAAGAUUUGUAACUACCCAGUAAUGUUAAAGUUUUGAAACAGUGAUAUACUUAAGGACUAUGAUACAUAAAACAUGAUAUUUUAUAGGUAGAACACCAAUAAACUUUUGAAC
rnacentral:lncRNA from 1 species